UUUGGUGUGUGCUUUUAUUACAUGUACAUGUUGUAUACGAGGUUAAGGCCCACAAGAUAACAAAUCGAAUCGAUGAGCCUUUUGCCAGACACUAAUUGGGAAGCAUACACAAAGAGAUUGGCUGAUAUUGAAAUCCCCUUGGAUAUGACCUUCAUAUCGGUAUCUUCCUAAAAUGAUCAUCUUCAACUAGUGCAGAGGUCCUGAGAGACAGGGAGAUAAACAGGCAAUGAACAGAUGUAAUCCAAAGUAAUUAACGUAGUAAUUGGAGGAGCUGUUUUUUGUUUUGCUAAAGAUAAAAUUAUAUCCUUUGGGUAAAUUAGCUAUUAUGAUUACAAAAAGCAUGGCCAAAAUAUUAUGAUGAUAUCCAACGCCGACGUAAAAAAAAGUGUGAGACUUAUUGCCGACUGAAGAACAGCAACAUUUGUAAAUGGGAUAAACACUGGGAGGGAGAUAUACAAGUUAAGUGUACAUGUCCAUCUGGAUUUAUUUUGUACUUGGCCAAAUGGUGGCGAAAAUACCUCGGCCAGUUGAUUUGGCUUUAAGUGGGUUUUACUUAACAUGCUUACUGAAGGAAAGAGAAUCACCUCCCUCUAGUGGUGCUGUCCCCAAUGUAUUCACAGUCAUACCCAGCUGCAGCCCCGAGCACUACCAGAUGUUGAUUCCUGUCCCUAGAUGGGCAGAGAGUACUUGAAGCACUUUCCCCACUUCCAACUUAUUUCGUGUCUCGGCACUGCAGCAUACUGUGGGGGCCUCUCAAGUCUGUAUACUGAACAGAUACCUUGGAAAUGUGUCAAAAUCACAAAAUCGGUAGUCUUUCAUUACGUCCCCUUUUCACUCUGAAAUACACACACAAGGAUUCAUUGUAAUCUUACAUCCAACAGGAACUGUUUCACGUUUCAAACGCACACAAACAGGAACAAGACAAACAGAAGUGAAAAAAAAAAGGUUUAUGUUGUGCGUUGCAGAACAGGGAAGCAGGGAUCUGCCGACGCCAGCGCCGUGAUUCAAUGAAGACACUGGCACGUCCUACCAGGCUGCAGAAAACUAGAACGUAAAUGGCGCUCCACAAAUCUAACAACUUGAAUGGCGUGACAGCCUGCUCAGAUGCGCACAACUUCUUCGUAAAGCGCCUGCUUCAGCCUACUCCUGCUGCCCAGGUAACCAGCUUAGUGGGUACCUACAUGUUCCUUGUCCAUCCUUCCCAGUCUAUUCAGUUUAAGGCCCAAUCCCAUUUCUACCCCUUACCCCUUCCCCUUCCCCUUCCCCCUCCCCUUUGUUUUGAAGGGGUAAGGGGAAGGGGUAAGAGGAAGGUGUGGUUAUGAGGGGACGCCUGGCCACCCCUGAUGGCUACCAGCUUGCUCAACACCCCAUCACGGUGUACAAUGGUAAAAAAUGAGUCACAUCCCUGGAGGAUGGGUCUCUCACCUUGCAUUCUUUCUAGAAUUUCUACCUUGCAAAUUAAGGUGGUUUUUUGUUUUCCUUUGGCGUAGUGAGUGUUUCGAAUAGGGCCCGUAAAGCUGUAACAGAGGCUGUAGGUGUGUUAAGGGCUAUACAAAUAAAAUUGAGCUGUCUUGAGUUUAUAUUGUCACAACCUGGCUCUUGGGUCUCACAAUAAAUGGGAUGACCACAAAUAAUGACCAUAACCGUUUUUAAAUGUAUUUCUCAAUAAUGUUAACAAAUACUCAAAACCAAACAUUGAUCAUGGUCAUGUGACAAACCGACAAGGGAAGAGAAGACUUUAUCGUCGAACCAGCAAGUGUGGGUGAUGGCCUUAAUGAUCAGUGGUCAGAAGACAUCAUGACCACUAGAUGGCGCCAAAGGGCCGUCACAAUAUUAACCAAGUAUGUUUAGAGAGUGAUACGAUUAUGAUAAUGAUUAUUAACACGAAGGCAUUAAUAACCACAAUGUUCUUCUAGAGUGUUGGAAAUUUAAACCAAUACGGGUCGCUCUCAUAACAUAGGCUUAAAACCUGCUCUACGAUACAUUAAAG
ensembl:lncRNA